GAGCCAUCCAAUUUAUGUUUAUCUGAAUGUGUUCUGCAGAAAUUUAGAAAAAGCUAGCAAUAUUGAUGCCAUGUUACAAGCCAUAAGGACAACAGAUAAUUAUGGUCCCUGAAAAGUUAGUAAUUGCA
rnacentral:snoRNA from 1 species